rnacentral:rRNA from 1 species
AUUGAACGCUGGCGGCAGGCCUAACACAUGCAAGUCGAGCGAGCGGCGGACGGGUGAGUAAUGUCUGGGAAUUGCCCAGUCGAGGGGGAAAACCGUUGGAAACGACCGCUAAUCCCGUAUACGAUGAGAUCGCCCAGGUGAGAUUAGCUAGUUGGGGAGGUAAUGGCUCACCAAGGCGACGAUCCCUAUCUGGUCUGAGAGGAUGAUCAGCCACACUGGAACUGAGACACGGUCCAGACUCCUACGGGAGGCAGCAGUGGGGAAUAUUGCACAAUGGGGGAAACCCUGAUACAGCCAUGCCGCGUGUGUGAAGAAGGCCUUCGGGUUGUAAAGCACUUUCAGCGAGGAGGCGUUACUCGCAGAAGAAGCACCGGCUAACUCCGUGCCAGCCGCCGCGGUAAUUC